UACGUAGGUGGCGAGCGUUGUCCGGAAUCACUGGGCGUAAAGGGCGCGUAGGCGGCGAUGCAAGUCGCAUGUGAAAAACCAGGGCUCAACCCUGGGGGGUCAUGCGAAACUGCAUAGCUUGAGUGCAGUAGAGGGAAGCGGAAUUCCUGGUGUAGCGGUAAAAUGCGUAGAGAUCAGGAGGAACACCGGUGGCGAAGGCGGCUUUCUGGGCUGCAACUGACGCUGAGGCGCGAAAGCGUGGGGAGCAAACAGG
rnacentral:rRNA from 1 species